rfam:Fictibacillus enclensis strain NIO-1003 genomic scaffold Scaffold10, whole genome shotgun sequence.
UCGCGCUAGGCGGGGAGGUAGCGGUGCCCUGUACUCGCAAUCCGCUGUAGCGAGGCUGAAUUCCUCUCCUCGGUUAGUCCAACGUACGGCCUGACCCACGUAAGUGGUGUUGACAUUCGGGUCCUGCGCAACGGGGACCCAUGAACCCUGUCAGGUCCGGAAGGAAGCAGCAGUAAGUGGUCAUCUUCGUGUGCCGCGGGGCAGCCUGGAUCGAGCUAACUGCCUGGGUAACGCGUAGGUUGGCUAUUCCAAAGAGAGGUGCGCGG